rnacentral:rRNA from 1 species
UACGGAGGGUGCAAACGUUGCUCGGAAUCAUUGGGCGUAAAGCGCACGUAGGCGGCCUGAUAAGUCGGGUGUGAAAGCCCUGGGCUCAACCCAGGAAGUGCACUCGAAACUGUCAGGCUUGAAUAUGGAAGAGGGUCGCGGAAUUCCCGGUGUAGAGGUGAAAUUCGUAGAUAUCGGGAGGAACACCGGUGGCGAAGGCGGCGAUCUGGGUAGAUACUGACGCUGAGGUGCGAAAGCGUGGGGAGCAAACAGG